rnacentral:rRNA from 1 species
CCUACGGGUGGCAGCAGUGGGGAAUAUUGCACAAUGGGGGAAACCCUGAUGCAGCGACGCCGCGUGAGCGAUGAAGUAUUUCGGUAUGUAAAGCUCUAUCAGCAGGGAAGAAAAUGACGGUACCUGACUAAGAAGCCCCGGCUCACUACGUGCCAGCAGCCGGGGUAAUACGUAGGGGGCAAGCGUUAUCCGGAUUUACUGGGUGUAAAGGGAGCGUAGACGGCGAUGCAAGCCAGAUGUGAAAGCCCGGGGGUCAAACCCGGGAGUGCAUUUGAAACUGUAUGGCUGGAGUGUGGGAGAAGCAGGCGGAAUGCGUGGUGUAGCGGUGAAAUGCAGAGAUAGUGGGAAGAACGCCGGUGGCGAAGGCAGCCUACUGGACGAAGACUGACGUUGAGGCACGAAAGCGUGGGGAGCGAACAGGAUUAGAUACCCUUGUAGUC